AGCCUUAGUGAACAUAAGUGAGACUUUGCAGACACAUCUUUUGCUGUUGAGUCAGAAUUCAUUACACCUAUUAACCGUAUCUACUUCUAUUUUAAACUUGACAGCAAGCCGCAGAAACAGGAUGUUUGUGGGACACAAACGUCAGUGUGUACUGCAUGGAUAAUUUCCUCUUCGAGGAAGGCCGCACCCUCAGCACAGACAGAGAGUUGGUCCUGCAAGAGCAUCGCUUCCUCGCUGUGUGUGUGCCACGCUCUGGGUAAAGUAUCACAGAGGUGUGCAAAAAGCCUCCACAAAGGACGAGAGAGAAAAAAAAUCUGGAGACAGAGAGAGCAAACACAGAGAAGCGGAGUGAUACAAACAAAUCAGUGGACUGGAACUAAUUGCUGUAUAACAAUAUGACGAAGAGCUCAUGACAACUACACAGUGAGUGUACAAAUAUUUCUGCUGUAUUUGACCUAUAUAUUUCAGUUAAUCCCAUUUUAACAGAGUCUUAUCCCUCUAAGGUCCAUCAACACUUCAGCACUUCUUCACAGCUGAAAACAGAUGUGGCUUCUGCUAAAGUGUGAGUUCCAGCAACUUCAUUCUGUUAGUCUGAGUUUGAGUUUGCAGUGGGGUUUUCACUCCUUACACAGAGCCUAAAAUAGACUUGUGACUUUUCUGCUUUGCUAGCCAGUAUCACACAUAGACUCUAGUAUCCAUGAGGUUGUCUACAUCGUCAGCAAGGCCGUGACCUUUGACCUCAGCCCAGAGAAGGGUGACAUAUAUAUAUAUGCUCUUAUACAUUUUUUUCUCCUCCCCCAAUGUUAAAAUGCUAGCUACAAUGAGACCCCAAGAUGAAUAAAUAAGCACAUGCUUACGUACCCUGCUUUAGCAAAUAACAUUCCACUGAUGCAUCAUGGGAGCUUUUCUCACAAAACCAGAGAUAAAAAACUUGCUCGUCAUCCCUAUAGAGACCCGGUACUGCUAUCGCUUUGUGCAUUCUGCACACUUUAAGCAAGCAUGUGUUGCUUCCUAUCAUACCCAGCUUUCUAUAUUCAUCCACGUUUGCAGAGCUGGAGAUGAACCAUGCGCUCCAUGUGGCCUUUGAAACUCACCACUCCUGCUUCAAGGAGAAAGCCAAACCCUCCCCAAUGCUCCUUAACUUCCCCCUGCACUCCAUCCGAGAGCCAGACGUGGAUCUUUGCCAGUCCAGGCAAAGCGCUCUGUCUUCCAGGCAUCGCACCCCAUUAUCCUCCGAGGAACCACAUCAGCAUUGAGAUGCGGACCUGUUUUUCUGUAGCACCUUUUGAGCUCAAAGCACUUCCUGAACUCUUGGCGAACAGAGAGGAAAAGGUCAGGCUAACUGCUUUAACCCAAGGUGAUGGCCAGGGUGGCUGACACAAAUCCUAGUGUGGAGAUGCCAGCGAUAACUGAUGACUCACGCCACGAAAACCCGAGAAAGAGAGCGCUGCAAGUUCGACGAUAUCGUAGGCAGUUACUUUUAUUGGGAACGAUUAAUACGCUGGCUAGCGGCAUUUGGACGCGUUCCCAACUCUGAUCUCCCACAAUCCUGCGGCUCAUGUUUCAGAUUAAGCCUCGCAGCGACACCACAGCCUACACAUCAUCCAACCCCUUCCUUCUUGCCUCCACGCAUGAUCUUGCCGUCUGACCUCACUCGUGCUUGAGCGUUCCAGGCGAGCGCAGCGCUUAAAUUAUCCCUCAGAUUCUAAUACAGCAUAAUCAUUUGCCUGUCAUUUUCAUUUCAUGCUCUUUACUUCUUCUGGGACUAUUUUUGGGCGGAAAGCUGUAGGAAAUUCAGAUGUUCAAAAGCUUGCUGAUUAGCCCUGUGAUUAAAAUGGAUCGCUGGCUGAGCCUUCGCCAGAAUCUAAAGCAGAGACUUCUAGAAUCAUUAGGAGUACUUUGUAACAGUUCAUAUUGCAAUGCCUAA